rnacentral:rRNA from 1 species
UCAUACCAGCAAUACUAUCACUCUAACAUGUGUCUAGCACUUAUCAACUUUCGACGGUAGGUUACAAGCCUACCGUGGUUAUAACAGGUGACGGGGAAUCAGGGUUCGAUUCCGGAGAGGGAGCCUGAGAAACGGCUGCCACAUCUAAGGAAGGCAGCAGGCGCGCAAAUUACCCACUCCCGGCACGGGGAGGUAGUGACGAAAAAUAACAAUACGGGACUCUACCGAGGCCUCGUAAUUGGAAUGAGUACAAUUUAAAAUCCUUAACGAGGAUCUAUUGGAGGGCAAGUCUGGUGCCAGCAGCCGCGGUAAUUCCAGCUCCAAUAGCGUAUAUUAAAGUUGUUGCGGUUAAAAAGCUCGUAGUUGGAUCUCAGUUCUGGGUGAGCACGGGUCCGCCAUAACAUUGGUGGACUGCUGACUUGCCCGGUGCAAAACCGCCCGGCUUCUCCCACGGUGCUCUUCACCGAGUGUCGUGGGUGGCCGACACGUUUACUUUGAGAAAACCAGAGUGCUUAAAGCAGGCGCAAGACGCCCGAAUGACUGUGCAUGGAAUAAUGGAAGAGGAUCUCGCUUCCGUCUUUGUUGGUUCCUCGGAUAGCGAGAUAAUGAUUAAUAGAAGCAGUCGGGGGCAUUCGUAUUGCGACGUUAGAGGUGAAAUUCUUGGAUCGUCGCACGACGAACUACUGCGAAAGCAUUUGCCAAGAAUGUUUUCGUUAAUCAAGAACGAAAGUUAGAGGUUCGAAGGCGAUCAGAUACCGCCCUAGUUCUGACCAUAAACGAUGCCAACUGGCGAUCUGUCCUAGUUACUCGCACGACUGGACAGGCAGCCUCCGAGAAAUCAAAGUCUUUGGGUUCCGGGGGAAGUAUGGUUGCAAAGCUGAAACUUAAAGGAAUUGACGGAAGGGCACCACCAGGAGUGGAGCCUGCGGCUUAAUUUGACUCAACACGGGAAACCUCACCAGGCCCGGACACCAAAAGGAUUGACAGAUUGAGAGCUCUUUCUUGAUUUGGUGGGUGGUGGUGCAUGGCCGUUCUUAGUUGGUGGAGCGAUUUGUCUGGUUAAUUCCGAUAACGAACGAGACUCUAGCCUGUUAACUAGCCGGUGGAUCAGAAAAUUGAUAUGCGGCGAAGUGGUGUUGCUAUCCUCCGGGGUGCAUCCUGCAUAGUCGCGUCCACCGAGUCUUCUUAGAGGGACAGG